rnacentral:rRNA from 1 species
UACGUAGGGUGCAAGCGUUGUCCGGAAUUAUUGGGCGUAAAGAGCUCGUAGGCGGUCUGUCACGUCGGCUGUGAAAUCCCGAGGCUCAACCUCGGGUCUGCAGUCGAUACGGGCAAACUAGAGUAUUGCAGGGGAGACUGGAAUUCCUGGUGUAGCGGUGAAAUGCGCAGAUAUCAGGAGGAACACCGGUGGCGAAGGCGGGUCUCUGGGCAAUAACUGACGCUGAGGCGCGAAAGCGUGGGGAGCAAACAGG